UUCAUGUUUUGUGUGGACCCCAGGAAGAGUAAUGGGGAUCCUAAUAAAAUACCAAAUAUUUACCACCAUACAUGUAUUAGUCAUCACAAAUGUCUGUUUAAAGUAAUGUAAAGGGAAACAUGUCAUUUAUCGACCGUGUUGAAAACAUUUGCUGUAGUUGCCAUCAUAAAGGUACAAGUAAUCAUACAAAGGGCAUGGUGGAAUGUUUAAUUAACAAACAAGGUGGUACUGGGCGGGGCGGCUUUAAACAAGAGCAAUUCGAACGUUUGCUAUAUAAAGAGACAGUACGCUUUUCUCGCCACAUGGCCGAGUGUCGACGACCUUGCGACAACUGGCUAGCUGUUCGCUGCACCAUCCGAGCACAUCCUGACUGGUGUUAUCCUGUCUGGUAUGGCAACUGACCUACAGAUGGUGGUGCGGACGGGCCAGCACCUCACUGGGGGCAAGCUCCCAGCCACCUAGGACGUACAUGCCAGGCGGUGUCUAAGAAAGGCCAGAAAAAUUGCCAAGGACUCCAGCUACAUGGACUGUUUUCCAUGUUCACAUCCGGCAGGCGGUGCUUCAAGGCUCAGACCAACAGACUCCUAAACAGCUUCUAUCCCCUGGCCAUAAGACUGGUAAAUGGCUAACUACUGCUCUCCCUCAGUGGAUCUCCACAGCAACGUCCUGCUGCUCAGUCUUCACGUUCACCAAGCACUUGAACAGGAAGUGUUGUACAACGCUGGGGCUCUGUGGCUGCAUCACUUCCUGUCCAGUGGCACUGACUUCCUCUUCCUGUGUUUCGGUAGGUACUUCCUGUGGGGUGGUGUUCUGUGUCGUGGUGAGUAGUGCCAUCUGUGCCAAUGUGAUAUUGGGUGUUGUAGAGGUACAAGACUCCAUGACGACAUCCUCCUGUUCCGCUGUUCUCUAUUGGGACACAGCUGACCCCCUGAGAGUUGGCGCCAUCUGCCCUGUUGGUCCCGGACUGUGGAACACUGCCUGGGAAGUCACUGUGUCUUCUCCAGCCAGGCAGUGAUGGCCUCCACAGGCCUGGGGUUGGAGGGACAGCCUGUAGAGGAGGCCUGGGACUGCAGCAGCAUGAAGGACAGUGGCUUACUAGACUUCUCCAGUUUCCUCUUCUUACUGUGGGGAGACUGCGGUGAGGGAGAUGGAAAUAAUUAAAUAUCCAUUGACAGUAUGUGGGAUUUACCGAGGUACCAUUGUCAUUCUUCUCUAUUAAAAACUUCUGGUGACGAUGUAGUCACAUACUUCAA